rnacentral:tRNA from 1 species
GCCUCUGUAGCUCAGUAGGUAGAGCAGGGGACUGAAAAUCCCCGUGUCGAUGGUUCGAUUCCGUCCGGAGGCACCA